UUGAUUCGAGACAUUCUCCCCCAAGUUACACAUAAAUAUGCAUAUACUUACAAUGAGAGAAAGUCUCUCACUCAGUGAACCAAGGUUAUAUCAAAUCUACACAUAUUGUGUGUCUUUUGCUAGCAAUAAUAAUAAUAAUAAUUAAUUUUAUUUGUAACACACUCUUUAUUCAGAAGAAUCUCAUAGUGCCAUAGUGUCCAUAGAGCCCACAAUCCUCCCUGUGUCUCUGGCUGUGGUGGUGGUGGUGGUGGUGAUGGGAGUUGUAGUCUUUAUGUUCUACAGGCACAGGAGAAACAAGACACCAGAACUUUCAUUUGAUGAUCCAAACAGCAGAAGCAACAGUCAGGCUCCUCACCCGGACCGCACGUAUGAAGAGAUUAAUGACAACCCAGCUGCACAUCCUGGACCCAGCACUG